GAGUUGUACCAAGUUUAAAACCAAAGCAGUGAUGAGACAGACUUCCUUUUUCUUAGUCCAAGAACACUUGUUUAGAGUUUGGAAAAGCAUGCGAGGAUUGCCCAGCUGCACAAAGAGUCUUUACAUGCCAAAGAAGCUUAAAAUCCAGUGCUGCAGGCAUGCUUGGUGUUGUACAAGAUACAGAAGAUGACGCAAUCCCUGCCUGUAGGAGGUUACCUGUACUGUUUAUCAACAGAUCGGUUACCGAUUGGGCUGAAGAACAGAAAAAUUCCAUUUUAGAAAGACAUCUGCAAUGAAUCAAAUCUAACAAUAGGAAAGUGGUUUAAUAUCCCUCUGCUAGAACAAAUUCCAUCAGACAAAAAUGAUUCCAAAAAGGCAUCCCAGUAUGAUACAUAAGAUCAUGGAACUGUUCUCAUAUUCAUCCAGUAAACAAGAUGGAAGGUGUGAAUGGAUGAGCCUAACC